AUUCUCCAAAUGGGUGGAUUGUAUAGCUCUUACCAAUUGUACAGCGUUAACAACAUGUAAGGCGCUAUGGAAAUAUGUAUUUUCUGUAUGGGGUUUUCCCAGAAUCAUUGAAUCUGACAAUGGUCCACACUUCAUUGGAGAAGUACUUAAAGAAAUGUGUAAAUUGUUGGGGAUCCAACAAAGAUUUCAUGUCCCAUAUCAUCCACAG